GUCCCCACAGGGGCCUCUGGUGCGAGCUCAUUGUGGGUCAGUUUCUCCUGCAUCUCCCCACUGCCUUCCCGGUGGAUCUGCUGCGGGCACAGCCCAGGAAACCCUCAGCUCAGAGGCUGGAGACUCGUCACAGACAGGGCCAGUCCUGGCACUCAAUGAGACCCGAUCCAAAUCACCAGCAGAUUCCUAACUCCCAGGCCGGCUGAGCCUAGUUUCUGCCCCAGCCAAGCCCAGAUCCCAGUCCCAGGUUGAGCCCUGACGUCAGUCACAGGCUGAAUCCAGAUGCUAACUGAUCCCUAAUCUUAUUGCAGACUAAGCGCUGAUCUCGAUCCCAGGCUGAUCUCCAGGCCUGUUCCAAGUUCUGAUCCUGAUCAGAUUGAGCCCAGCGUUCACAGAAAGCAGGGCACCUAUGGAGACCCAUGGAGAUGGGACAGAGGGUGGUAAGUGGGAGACAGGAGGAGCCUGGAGUCCAGGUUAGACUGAGAACAGAACCAGACUAACAGCCCGUCAGCCAGAAGACCAGAGGCCCAGAACUUCAGUUCACAGAGAGGUCUUCUCCAAAAACACCCAAACAGGGGUUUCCUCUUGGUGGAAGAACCAAAAUCUGAACCAAGGAUGGUAAGAAGGCUCCUCAGAGCUGCCAUUCUGGAGCAGGGUGGGUGUCCCAUGCAUUAAGCCACGGUAUUCCUCUGGGUCCCCACUGCCCCUCAGAAUAACCCUGUGGAUUGAAUUAUUACCCAUUUUACAGAAAAGAGAGUUGAGGCUCGAGAAGCAAAUGACCUGCCUCUUGCCUCCGUCGUGGGAGAAUCAGCACUCGGGCCCUUGACCUCCCUGUACUUUGGUGGGGUCUAGGUGCAGGCAGUUACAGUCUCCUGAAGAGAGGCCUAGGGCUUGCAGUCCCUCUGCCACGCGACUUAGCUGUUGGCUAAGUCCUGAGCCUGCCCAAGGCAGGAGAGGAGCCAGGGAAGAGAAAGGUUGGUCCCUGAGACUGUUGAUGUGGCUAGUUCCGGCCCCAGCCCCAGGCAGGGCCUCCCACUCAUAUAAAGUGGUUCCAUCCCCUUCUCCCCCGGCAGGCGCUGGCUAGCAUGGCAGGUGAGGAAACUGAGGUCCAGAAAGGGGAUCCCACUUGUCGGGCUCACAGAGCUGAGACCUGCCCCCAGAACCCCCAUGCUCGGCCUCCCGCCCUGUGUUCCUUCACCUGCACAGGAGAAUGAAGGCCGUCCAUCACCCCUCGUCCAUCCAUCGUCCACCUACCCGCCCCCCGGGUCAGCAGCCGGUCCGUAGCGUCCUCCGUGUGCCAAGUCUGGGCAAAUUCCGCAGGCGGAGUGGAGACCCGAGGCAGAGCCCGUGGACUCUCAGGGGACCCACAGAUUAAACAAACAUGCCGCAGAAAGCAGAAAGAAACGCAUCGCCGAGUGCUGAGAGCCGCCCAGGAUGUAACCAGGCCUCUCCCUCUCGGGGUGCUCCCGGCCCCAGGGAGCUCCAGGCAGAAACCCUGCAGAGAGCACCCAGGGCUUAGCCUCAGGGGACAGGGGCUUCGAGAAAAGCAGGAAUACUCCCCCAGGGAGUCAGGCAGCUUGGUGAGGCUGCAGCCAGGCCACCUGACCACUGCGACCACUGACCACUGCGAGGAGAAGCCCUCCAGGGGGCCUUGUCUGCAGCAGGAGGUGAGAGAGAGGGGGAGAGACAGUGUGCUGUGGGGUCUUUGGCAAGCCUGCCCCUGGAUUCACUUUGUGAGCCAUCCAGCUGGUGCCGGAAGCCUCCAGGAACCGCAUGGGAGCUUUAGGAGAAAUAAUGAGAGUGGUUAUUUCAGGAGGAGGAACAGCGUGAGCAGACGGGUGGAGGUGGGGAACAGCAGGCAGACCCAGGAAGGCGGAGCGAGGAGACAAAACAGAGGAGAGCCCAAAGUCCAGCCCGUGGCGACAUCAUGGCACCCUGGGGAGGCUCUGCUCCCACCACACACCAGUGUGGAUAUCUGCUGCCCGUCACAAGCUGACUGUGUGCCCAGAGAGGCUCACAUGUGUGCCCUCGAUCCAGGAAGAGCAUUACUGUUAGAGCCCAUUUUAUGGCAGGAAAAUCGAGGUCAGGAGAAGUUAGAAUCUGCCUCCCAGGAAGGUGUGAAGUGAAGGAUACAGCCCCAUGGCGUCGGCCACACGGCCCAGCCCCUUCACUCCCCUGCGUGCCCACAAGACAGCCAGAGGAGAUCUGCACAGGUGUCGGCAAGUCCUGUGCAGCUCCACCUGCGGUCUCUCCCACUAAACCGGAGCUCAUUUGCCUCGGUCAUCCCGGGCUCCAACACGGGCCCUAAAUCAGUGCCGAGGACAUCGUGGGGGUAAACCAUCAACAUGGGGCCCCUGCGUGGUUGAUACUGCCUUGUUCCCAUUGCACAGGUGGGAAAAUGGAGUCCCAGAGAGCAACGGGGGAGCUGUAAUUCACCAGGCUACGAGCAUCUAAAUCAAUGAACUAAUUAAUGAGUAAACGAGCGUGAGUAAUGACGAAUGGCUGACCUAGAGGGUGGGAGGGGAGGCCAUUGGAGGAGUGAGAGACUGCAGGGGCACAGCCGGGUGACCGGGAGAGUGAGGUCCUCCUUCCUCCCAUCCGUACCUCGGUCCACCUCCAGCUUCCAGGAAAAAGGCCCCUUUGCUGUCCUCUCAGGGAGAAUCCAGACUCUCUGCCAGGCUGUUGCCUAGCAACAGUGCCCUGCCUGGCCAGCCCCGCCCUCUCAGUGGGCCAGGGCCAGGGUGCGCAGCCAACCCGGGGGCCUGGCCACUGGCAGGCAGGGAACGGGGGACCCGGGCUCCCAAGCUGAGGACAAGGAUGUCAGAGAUCGGGGAGGAGGCUGGGGUGGGCCUGAGGCCGGGCCAGGACCCCCCGAGGAAAGACCACGUGGAGCAGCCGUGACUCUGGCACAGGUCCCGGAACAGGGAGGGCGGAUGCAGGAUCCCACAGGCCUUGAGUCUCAAGUCCUGGGUUUGAGUGGACCCUGGAGCAGUCACUUCCCUCCACGGCCGGCGUGAGGAGGGAAGGCGCACAGCGGGCUUGGAGCAAGCAGGCUGCUUUCAUAAGCAACGAGGGGACAGGACGAUGUGCCCGCAGCCCUGGGUCUGCAGGGCCCCUGGGGAGCAGCCCCUCUCCGGCCAGGCCCUGAAGGACUUCUCCAGGUGGAAAUGGGGUGAGGAGAGGGGCAAUUCCUGGCGGAGGGAACAACCCCAGCGAAGGCUGGGAGCCUGAAGCUGAAGUGCAUCUCAUAAUACCUCAUGUUUGCGAAUGGCCAGGCACAUUUGCAUUGAACCCUCACCGCAGGCCACGAGGCUGGAACGUGUGCUCCCAUUUUGCAGGAAAGGGAGUGUGGGCUCAGAGACCAGCAGGGGUACUGGGGGUCACACAGCAGGUGAGCCAACUCCAGCUGCCUUUCCCCUGAAUUCCUCACAGGAAGAAGAGGCUCACCUAGGGGGAGCAAGAGUGAGAAAUGUGGCCACACAGUGUGCAGGGACACCCUGUGUGCGACUGGAAGCACGGUGAAUUUCGAAAUCUGGGCAGGGGCAAUGGGGAGCCACUGAUGGUUUCUGAGCUGGGAGAGGAUGGCCCAGGCCAGGUCCUCAGGUCCCUCGGUGCUGCCCCGGGGCCAUCUGUCUCCACCUCCUACACUCUGCCACUCUUUGCAUCCAUGUCCCCCACCCUCCGCCCCCACUGCCUCUCAGCCACUGUGAGGAACCAUGUGUGACGGUGGAGAAUGUAAAAAUAUACGAAAAACAACAAGGGCGACUGCGCUCGGCUAUAAAUACCCUGACGGCGGAAUCGCUCCUCCAGUCCCCUUCCUGCUGCCUGAGGAGCGGGGGCUUGGUGUUCGGCAGGUGGAGAGGGGGACUCAGGAAGGGAGGAAGGAACGGGAAUGACCGCUUGCAGACCUACUUUGUGCCAAGCGCUUUGCAAGCCUUGUCCUCACGAAACCCUGACAGUGACUCACUCCUGAUCCCCUCUUUACAGAUAAGGAAACUGAAGCACGAGAAGUAGGUCAUCUGGCCAAGGCCACUCAGUCACACGGCCUGGGAGGGAGCCGGGCAGCUGGAGCUCCUGCAAGCUCCGCCUGGCGGGAGAGGCCAAGUCGGCCUCCGGCCAGCUCUGCAAGCAGAGGAGGCCGCCUGGGGUCCCUCCAAGGUCCGAGAGGGCCCACGGUCCCAGGUGCCCGCGGCUUCCACCCCUUCCAUGGCUCCCCAUCGCCCUGGGCCAAAGGACAUGCUCCUGGGUGCGGCCCUGGGGUGCUGUGGUCUGCCCUCUGCCCACGUCCCUGUGGGUGCCCGGGUCUCUGAGCCACGGCCACGUGGACCCUCUAAGGGGAGCUUCACAGGACUGAGCCUCUCUCUGUCGGUCCUUGCCACUUCAUUUUCCGGGGCUAGGUCACCCUUGGUGCCACCUCCUCAGGGAAGACACCAGGCUUCCUCCACUGCCCUGAGGGCCCUCCCCCAGGACCCCAGGCCCGGUCCCAAUCUUGAGGGCUUCUCAGUGGCCAGGGGAGGAAAGUGCCUCCUCUGGUGAGUGACCAGGGCUGUGGUGGCAGCAGUGUGACCUGGCCUUGGAGACCGGCUGGAGGUGUGGGGUGCAGGGCCCUGGAGGGGAGUCAGCACUGGGGCGCUGGGAAGAGGAAAGAAAAUGGAGGCGGGAGGGACAGGAAGGGACUCCUGGGGCCCCUGCUGGGGGACGCACAGGGUGCUGACUGAGGACAGAAAUGAACUGGCUCCAUCUCUGGGCCUUCAUCCUGCUCCCGGCCCAUUCCCCCUCUGGCCAGGGGGCUGAAAGGCGAGUGGGAGGUUGUUCCCUUCAGGCCGUCCCCCCCCCCACCCCAGGGCCAGCGCAGCCCACGGAAAGAUCGCGGGAGCCGCUGGAGCAAGUUGGAAUUUUAACUUUCCAGGAGUCCCUUUUUAAAAAAAUAAAGGAAAAGCA
rnacentral:lncRNA from 1 species